AUAGUUCUUGAUAAAAACCUGCCUGUAUCUUACUGCAAAAAAUGGUAUAUCUGGGUAGAAAAAUUGAUCAUUGUUUUGCCCGCUUGUAUAAAAGCCAGUUGCUUGUAUGUUAUCAUCUUAUUGGAAAUCGAAGUAUUAGAAGCAUUUAUAUGGAGCUCCAAUUUCUUUGUUGCGUGAACAUUCAUUCUUAUACUUUUGCAAUGUGUAUAGUUUAAAAUUCAGUUAAUUGAUUAUUGUCUGUCUUGUUUUUUUAUUCCAGGGAUCAGAAUUAGGAAGUGGCACACCAUCACCAAUUGAUGAUCGACCAAGUACCAAUAAGUAAUCAAUUUUAGGAUCAACUAUGAUAUUUUUGGUUGUUAUUGUUGAAGAACACUUUGAAACUUUAAUAUUUUGAUGAUGUAACUUUGGAGUACUUGAGUUUUAC
rnacentral:lncRNA from 1 species